rnacentral:lncRNA from 10 species
CAAUUAAUCAAUGUGUCCCAAAUGGCUAUUUUUUUUUGUGUCCUAGCUAAGAAUUUGUCUAUUGUGAAUUGAUACUUGUAUAUAGAACAAGGCAAGGACAAAGUUCUUUUUUCUGCUGCUGCUUCUUCUGUAGAGGUACCCAGCUGUUCCAGCAAUGUUUGUGAAAGACUGUUUUUUUGUAUUAAAUAUAUAGAUUCUGUAAUAUAUAGAGUCUAAAAAUAUACAGUGUGGAGAAUAGAUGUCUUAAGUCUUCCAAUCCGUAAACGUGGUAUAUCCCUUUAUUACUUAGAUGUUUCAUCUCUGUUAGCAAUAUUUUGUAGUUUUCACAGGAGAUAUCUCAUAUAUUAUCCAAUGAAUUUAUACUUUGGUAUUUUGAUUUUUAAAUGCUAUGGUAAAUGGCAUUUUUAACAAACUUCACUUUUCAAGUUUCCAUCUCUAAUAUAUAGAAUUGCUAUUGAUUUUUAUAUUCCAUGAUCUUGAUAAACUUAAUAUUUCCAGUAGUUUUUUUUUUUGUAGAUUUCAAAAGUUGGUCUACAUAUAAUUAUGCUC